GAGGGAGUGGGGGUCUGGAAUCAGAAUCGAAAUAGAUGACUUCCAUUCUAACCGUUUGGUUAGGAGGAGUCUGAUUCUGAUUUCGGAUGGAAAUGGGAAUGACUCAAUCUAUAUAGAACUCAAUUCCUACUCUCCUUUAUGGAUUCAAAUUUUCAUUAUAAUUUCGAUUCCGAUUUCGAUUUCAAACACGAACCAAACGUUUCGAAAAAUUUGACAAUUCCGAUUCCGAUUCCAAGUCAUUCCAAUUCCCAUUCUUAUUCUAGUUACAAACC
rnacentral:lncRNA from 1 species